rnacentral:rRNA from 1 species
UGGGGAAUAUUGGACAAUGGGCGCAAGCCUGAUCCAGCAAUGCCGCGUGGGUGAUGAAGGCCUUCGGGUUGUAAAGCCCUUUCGCACGCGACGAUGAUGACGGUAGCGUGAGAAGAAGCUCCGGCUAAUUUCGUGCCAGCAGCCGCGGUAAUACGAAAGGAGCAGGUGUUAUUCGGAUUAACUGGGCGUAAAGGGCGCGUAGGUGGUUUGUUAUGUGUGUUACUAAAUUAUAAAGCUUAACUUUAUGUAAUAACAUAUACAGCUAAACUAGAGUUUAGUAUGGGGUAGUAGAAUUUCUAAUGUAAAGGCGAAAUUUGAUAAAAUUAGAGAGAAUACCGAUGGCGUAAGCAACUACCUGGGCUUUAACUGACGCUCAUGCACGAAAGCGUGGGGAGCAAACAGGAUUGGAUACCCUGGUAGUCCACGCCCUAAACGAUGUCGACUGGUUGUGGGGGUUUGACACUCUCAGUAACGAAGCUAACGCGUGAAGUCGACCGCCUGGGGACGUACGGCCGACG